UAGAGUUUGAUCCUGGCUCAGAAUCAACGCUGGCGGCGCGCCUAGCACAUGCAAGUCGAACGAGAAAGCCGGGGCAACCUGGUGAGUAAAGUGGCGUACGGGUGAGUAACACGUGGAUUAUCUGCCUUCUGGUGGGGAAUAACCCUGGGAAACCGGGGCUAAUACCGCAUAAGUCCGAGAGGAGAAUGCAGCAAUGCGCCGGAAGAGGAGUCCGCGGCCGAUUAGCUAGUUGGUGAGGUAAAGGCCCACCAAGGCAAAGAUCGGUAGCCGGCCUGAGAGGGCACACGGCCACACUGGCACUGAAACACGGGCCAGACUCCUACGGGAGGCAGCAGUGGGGAAUCUUGCACAAUGGGGGAAACCCUGAUGCAGCGACGCCGCGUGAGCGAUGAAGCCCUUCGGGGUGUAAAGCUCUUUCGGCAGGGAAGAUGAUGACGGUACCUGCAGAAGCAGCUGCGGCUAACUACGUGCCAGCAGCCGCGGUAAUACGUAGGCAGCAAGCGUUGUUCGGAGUUACUGGGCGUAAAGGGUGUGUAGGCGGUUCCUUAAGUUUGGUGUGAAAUCUCCCGGCUCAACCGGGAGGGUGCGCCGAAUACUGAGGGACUCGAGUGCGGGAGAGGAGAGUGGAAUUCCUGGUGUAGCGGUGAAAUGCGUAGAUAUCAGGAGGAACACCGGCGGUGUAGACGGCUCUCUGGACCGCGACUGACGCUGAGACACGAAAGCGUGGGUAGCAAACAGGAUUAGAUACCCUGGUAGUCCACGCCCUAAACGAUGCACAUUUGGUGUGGGUCAUUCAGUUGAUCCGUGCCGGAGCCAACGCGUUAAAUGUGCCGCCUGGGGAGUACAGUCGCAAGGCUGAAACUCA
rnacentral:rRNA from 1 species